rnacentral:rRNA from 1 species
UACGUAGGGCGCAAGCGUUGUCCGGAAUUAUUGGGCGUAAAGAGCUCGUAGGCGGCCUGUUGCGUCCGCUGUGAAAUCCCGGGGCUCAACCCUGGGCGUGCAGUGGAUACGGGCAGGCUCGAGUUCGGUAGGGGAGACUGGAAUUCCUGGUGUAGCGGUGGAAUGCGCAGAUAUCAGGAGGAACACCGGUGGCGAAGGCGGGUCUCUGGGCAGUAACUGACGCUGAGGAGCGAAAGCGUGGGGAGCGAACAGG